ensembl:lncRNA
CUGGAGGUAUGAGACACAUGAGAAGAGGGCAUCGAAUCCCAUAACAGGUGGUUGUGAGCCACCAUGUGGGUGCUGGGAUUUGAACUCAGGACCUCUAGAAUAGCAGUCAAUGCUCUUAACCAUUGAGCCAUCUCUCCAGUCCCGGCAGUUCAUUUUUGUCGCUAAGUGUCCAUUAUUUAGACGUACUGGGGUGUGCUCGUUCACCUAUGGAAUGCCAGUCGAGCAUUUUCAAUCUUGCUCCAAUGAAGAAAACACUUCUGUAAACAUUUGCACACACAUUUUUGUGUGCAUGAAUAUUUUUCCUUUGAGAGGGAUGCUCGAGAAUGCCAAUUCAGGAAUCAAACACUAAAUAAGCUGCCAGACUGUUUAUUUUCAGAGUGACUGGAUGUUUUACAUCCCCACCAAUAAUAUUUGAUAUCAUCACCUUUUUUUAUUUACAAAAUUACUGUUCAACAGUACUGAAGAGAACUCACCUCGAUUUUGAUUUGCAUUUCCCUAUUGACCAAUCCUGUCAAAACAUUUCUUCCUGGGCCAACUGACCACCCUUUUAUCUCCUUAUCGCUAAAAGAAAUGUUCCUGGUUUGGGCUGUUUUAUAGAUGGCUUGUCUUGCUAUUGCAUAUUCUUAAUUUUUGUUAUUUUAAAUAUGUUUAAGUUUCCAUACGUGUGCUUAUGUGCGGCUGCCUAGUUGUAUGCGCACACAAGUGCAGGUGCUUGCAGAAGCCACAAGAGGGAGGCAGAGCCCUGUAGCUGGAGUUUGAAGGUGGUUGAGAGACUCCAGCGUGGGUUCUGGAAUCUGAUCUCUGGUCCUCUGCAAGAGCUGCAGCGUUUACAGCUGCUGAGCGAAUUCUAGCCCUUUAUUGUCGGAUGGCAUUAAAAAAAGAUAUUCUGGGAUCAUAAUCUUCAAAUUGCAAAUUAAAUAUGCACUGCCCCCAGGAAAAGUCUACCAUCCACUUAAUUACCAGUUCUCAAUGCUUCUAUUGCCUGAAGCUUUUCCCGGUAUAUCCGUGGGUAAUGGGAAUUUUACUUACAUAAAAUUCCCACGGAGAGAGUUUUCUCAGCCCUGUGGUGUUAAGUCCUCACUGGAGCGGUCUGUAACCGACGGCCGGAGGAGCCAACGCCCCUCUCUCCUGCGCAGGCGCAAAAGUCUCCCCCUAGUGAUUGAUGCAAUAGCUGUGGGCUAGUGGCUUGAACCAUUGGGGUGUAGCGAGACAGCUGCUCGGCAUUCCCUUGGCCUGGAAUGCCAGAUCAAAUGCUAGGAUGGUGGAUGGAUAACGAGUGGGAGGUGUUAGAGAGCCAUUUCAGACACUCACAAGGGAGGAAAGGCACCGAUGGGCCUCCUUUAGAGAACAGCUGCCUUUGGUCAAAAGGUUUAUUGAAAAGCAGCUGUUGAGGGAGAUCGCUGGGGUGACACAGCUGCUGUUGCAAUGGCCAAGGAUUUUGUGGCAUCUAAGGGAUGAUGUGGCUCGUGGCAUGUGGAGACACUGCCUCCAUUGACUGGCUGGCUCCAAAGAACUGCUCUGGGCUUCAGAGCCGGAAUAGGGUAGGGCAGUGGGUUUAACCAGCCCUUUAAAAGCAGCUUUGACUAAACCGCCCUGGACUCCAUCCUUCCAGGAGCCAUAGGGUUGAUCUGAACUGCUCCAACCAGAGGCCUGCUGUCUGGUUAAAGACAAAGGGCAGGGAUGCGUGUCUGUGCGCUUUCGUAAUACUGUGUGUUGAUGGCCAAGAGAUAAAAAUGACCUUCUGGGACCCUGUUUCUGCAGAUGCCCUUUUAUCCAGUAUCCCAACGUGGGAGCAGCAUUUUGCAAGUUGCUCUAGCUAGAUCAACGGGGACAGGUAUCAGUGAAUGAGACAGACAGGAUUUGAGUCCGUCUAGCCUACUGCCGCGUGCUUGGAGGGAGGCACGAUCUCUUUUCUCUAUGCAUCGUUUCUUAGGUUUUAUGUUGGUGUUGGAUGAGUUUGUUAAAAAUGUGAUUUUGGAAGUCCAGGAGUCCUAACUACAUCCCCCUUUUGGUCAAAAGCCUCCUUUGUCAACGUGGCUCUAACUAAUUUAGCUCAGCACGGUUAAGAGGCAAGAACUAGCUGCCCUUUACUUUGUAGGGAAGCAGAAACUGGUGCACAUUGUCAACUUUGAAAAAAAAAAAAGAUUAGGGCUGGAGAGAUAGCUCAGUAGUUAGAGCACUGACUGCUCUUCCAUAGGUCCUGAGUUCAAAUCCCAGCAACCACAUGGUGGCUCACAACCAUCUGUGAUGGGAUCCGAUGCCCUCUUCUGGUGUGUCUGAGGACAGC